rnacentral:rRNA from 1 species
UUCCGUAGGUGAACCUGCGGAGGGAUCAUUACCGAGUUUACAACUCCCAAACCCCUGUGAACAUACCUUAAUGUUGCCUCGGCGGAUCAGCCCGCGCCCCGYMAAUWCGGGACGGCCCGCCAGAGGACCCAAACUCUAAUGUUUCUUAUUGUAACUUCUGAGUAAAACAAACAAAUAAAUCAAAACUUUCAACAACGGAUCUCUUGGUUCUGGCAUCGAUGAAGAACGCAGCAAAAUGCGAUAAGUAAUGUGAAUUGCAGAAUUCAGUGAAUCAUCGAAUCUUUGAACGCACAUUGCGCCCGCUGGUAUUCCGGCGGGCAUGCCUGUUCGAGCGUCAUUUCAACCCUCAAGCCCCCGGGUUUGGUGUUGGGGAUCGGCUCUGCCUUCUGGCGGUGCCGCCCCCGAAAUACAUUGGCGGUCUCGCUGCAGCCUCCAUUGCGUAGUAGCUAACACCUCGCAAMWGGAAGCGCGGCGCGGCCAUGCCGUAAAACCCCAACUUCUGAAUGUUGACCUCGGAUCAGGUAGGAAUACCACGCUGAACUUAAGCAUAUCAAUAAGCGGAGG